rnacentral:rRNA from 1 species
UACAGAGGUCCCGAAGCGUUGUUCGGAUUCAUUGGGCGUAAAGGGUGCGUAGGUGGCGCUGUAAGUCGGGUGUGAAAUUUCGGAGCUUAACUCCGAAACUGCAUUCGAUACUGCGGUGCUUGAGGACUGGAGAGGAGACUGGAAUUCAUGGUGUAGCAGUGAAAUGCGUAGAGAUCAUGAGGAAGACCAGUGGCGAAGGCGGGUCUCUGGACAGUUCCUGACACUGAGGCACGAAGGCCAGGGGAGCAAACGGG